UGGGGAAUUUUGGACAAUGGGGGAAACCCUGAUCCAGCCAUCCCGCGUGUGCGAUGAAGGCCUUCGGGUUGUAAAGCACUUUUGGCAGGAAAGAAACGUCAUGGGUUAAUACCCCGUGAAACUGACGGUACCUGCAGAAUAAGCACCGGCUAACUACGUGCCAGCAGCCGCGGUAAUACGUAGGGUGCAAGCGUUAAUCGGAAUUACUGGGCGUAAAGCGUGCGCAGGCGGUUCGGAUAGAAAGAUGUGAAAUCCCAGAGCUCAACUUUGGAACUGCAUUUUUAACUACCGGGCUAGAGUGUGUCAGAGGGAGGUGGAAUUCCGCGUGUAGCAGUGAAAUGCGUAGAUAUGCGGAGGAACACCGAUGGCGAAGGCAGCCUCCUGGGAUAACACUGACGCUCAUGCACGAAGGCGUGGGGAGCAAACAGG
rnacentral:rRNA from 1 species